AUAUUAUUGGACGAAGACUUUGAAGCUGUGGUCGGAGAUUUUGGACUUGCAAAACUCAUGGACUACAAAGACACACAUGUAACAACCGCAGUGCGUGGUACGAUUGGUCAUAUAGCACCUGAGUACCUUUCUACUGGUAAAUCAUCAGAGAAAACAGAUGUGUUUGGUUAUGGAGUCAUGCUUCUUGAGCUCAUUACUGGACAAAGAGCUUUCGAUCUUGCUCGUCUCGCCAAUGACGAUGAUGUCAUGUUACUAGACUGGGUAUAUAUUCAUGUGUUUCAGUUUCACACUUGUAUAGUUUCUUCUAUUUGUGUUAGUUAUAAGUGUUUGUUUUGUACCAUUCAACAGGUGAAAGGGUUGUUGAAAGAGAAGAAGUUGGAAGCGCUAGUAGAUGUUGAUCUUCAGGGUAAUUACAUAGACGAAGAAGUGGAGAAGCUAAUCCAAGUGGCUCUGCUCUGCACUCAGAGCUCACCAAUGGAAAGACCCAAAAUGUCUGAAGUUGUGAGAAUGCUUGAAGGAGAUGGUUUAGCUGAGAGAUGGGAAGAGUGGCAAAAGGAGGAAAUGUUCAGACAAGAUUUUAAUUACCAAAACUAUAAUCAACCAAACACUGCUUGGCUCAUUGGCGAUUCCACUUCCCACAUAGAAAACGAUUAUCCUUCGGGUCCAAGAUAAGAUUCGUAACACGAAUUAUUUCUGUUUUUAUUUUUCUUCUUAUGUAUUUAUUAAGGGUUUAGUUUAUGCUGAUCCAUAUUAUUGAGUUCUUUAAGCGAGUACAUGUAUGAAGAUUCAAUUCCAAGUUAUAUAAUCUUUUAAAGCUAGACACUUUAGUCAUCUACAAACAAAAAUCUCACAAAACUAUACUUUGUUACUAUGUUACCCAAACCAAACCAUGUAAAACUUUUUUUUUAAAUUAUGAUUGAAUUAUCUUUCUUCAUAUCAUUAGACACGACACACACAGCGAGACAAGAAAAAAAACAUAUUUAUUUUUCGUCCAUUCGUAGCUUAAGCUUUGCACACCAUAUUUUUAUUGUUUCAGUAUUUUAAAAUGAAAAUAUAUACACUAAAAAACGUAAGCAGUGCAAUAUUACGUUUGUUUUAUAUGCGUCUAUUUUUUUAUUAUAUCAUUUUUCCUCGUCAGAUAUUUGUACUUGCAAACUAUAAAUCUAAGUUUUUUAUUUGUUUCUUUUUUGAUAUUUCUAGAUAAUAUCCAAAUAGCUGGACUAGUUUUAUCUAGAGCCCACAAAACAAAAAGAGCCUCUACAAACUGAGCUGGGCCAAUUUGGACUCACCCUUAAAAGUUUAAACACGUCUUUAGAAGAACAUUAUGAUAUUAAUGAUAAAUAAAGUAAUAACGAAUGGUAUCCCACCAUUCAUCAUCAUGCUUUUUAUCAUCAUACGAACAUAACCAACAUCAUCCCCAGUUGAAGUCGUGCGCGUUUGACUUUGACCAGCUAAAGAGAGCUUGAAAUGCUCCACGUCAUCAAAACUUUUGUCGUUUUCCUCGUUUUGCAUUAAAUGCUAUUUUUAAUUUCACUGUACCAACUCAGACAAGUAUAAAACUCUUUGGCUUUGUCUUCUUUCACAUUUACUUUUUUUUCUUGUAAUAAUCUUUCUUUUUUUAAUUAUUCGUUCUUCUUCCGAUAACUUGUUUCUAUCAUCUUCCUUCCUUCGUUUUCUCUCAAUCUUAAAUCCUCCGGUUUAGUAGUCAACGGUCAGCGAUCUCGGCGUUUUCAAAUCGGAAACACAUAGCUCUGAGAGAGUCUUUGGUUAUCGAUUUGGGUUGGUCUUCUCUUCAAAUUAUAGUCAACGGUUGAAAACGCGUCAAGGGCUUUUCUCAUUGAUUCGAGAUCCUAUGAAGGAGAGUUGUUACUAGGGUUCGUUUUUAAUCUACGAGGAAUGAUGAAACCUACCUUCUUAUGGCUGCUUCUUGUUUUCGAUUUGGUUCUCAGAGUAGCUGGCAACGCCGAAGGUCUACUUCUCUUCGAUUAUUUAUUGUAUAAGCAAAGUUUUCUAUUUGACUUGAGUUAUGUUAUGUAAUUAAUUGAUUGCAAAGGUUUGAAAAGUGUUUUUUUGAUUCUUUCUUUUGGUUAAAACCGCAGGUGAUGCUUUGAGUGCACUGAAGAACAGUUUAGCAGACCCUAACAAGGUGCUCCAGAGUUGGGAUGCUACUCUUGUUACUCCCUGUACAUGGUUUCAUGUUACUUGCAAUAGUGACAAUAGUGUCACACGUGUGUAAGUUUCUUUUUUUUUUGUUUUCUGUCUCUCUGGCGCAAAGAAUGUUGCCUACUAAGAUCUUCAUCUUUGUUUAGUGACCUUGGGAAUGCGAAUCUAUCUGGUCAGCUAGUAAUGCAGCUUGGUCAGCUCCCAAACUUGCAGUACCUGUAAGUUCAUCUCUUCCUAAACAUGAUAUAUCUAGGUGAAGUAGCUUUGAUAACUUUUGUAAUAUGGAAGAAAAUGUAAUGAUACAGGGAGCUUUAUAGCAAUAACAUAACUGGGACAAUCCCAGAGACGCUUGGGAAUUUAACGGAGUUGGUGAGCUUGGAUCUUUACUUGAACAAUCUAAGCGGUCCCAUCCCAAAAUCUCUUGGCCGACUACAGAAACUCCGUUUCUUGUAUGCAACCCCCACUCUUCUCUUACUACCCCUUUUUUUUUAUAAUCAGCCUAACUAUUGUCUUCAGUUUCCUUGAAAAGCUAUUCCUACUUGUGUUUAGGCGUCUUAAUAACAAUAGCUUAUCUGGAGAAAUCCCAAGGUCUUUGACUGCUGUCUUGUCGCUUCAAGUUCUGUAAGUGUACCUUUUGUCUCUCUCUCCCUAGUACCUUUGUGUUCAUUGUUUCUGAUUAUUGUUUGAUAUUAACUUUAUCUUGAAAUGCAGGGAUCUCUCAAACAAUCCUCUCACUGGAGAUAUUCCUGUUAAUGGUUCCUUUUCACUUUUCACACCUAUCAGGUUUUGCUUCUUUCUCCUAAUUUAAACCUUUUGUGGACAUGUCAGAACGGGUUGAUUAAUUAUUUGGAAUUUAUUUUCAGUUUUGCCAAUACCAAUUUGACACCUCUUCCUGCAUCUCCGCCGCCUCCCAUCUCUCCUACACCGCCAUCACCUGGAGGUUCUUCGUUUUGUCUAUGUCUACUUGAAAAACAUUCAAAGACUAAGAUGUUCAUAUCAUACUUGCAGGGAGUAAUAGAAUCACUGGAGCUAUUGCUGGAGGAGUUGCUGCAGGUGCUGCACUUCUUUUCGCUGUUCCAGCCAUUGCACUUGCUUUGUGGCGUAGGAAAACACCACAAGAUCACUUCUUUGAUGUACCAGGUUAGAGAAACAUCCAUGGCUUGUUUUUCUCAUUGACACUACUUUGGCUGAGUUUUUGUUUUUGUUACAGCUGAAGAGGACCCAGAGGUGCAUUUAGGACAACUCAAGAGGUUUUCUUUACGUGAACUACAAGUUGCUUCUGAUAAUUUCAGCAACAGGAACAUAUUAGGUAGAGGAGGUUUUGGUAAAGUGUAUAAAGGAAGGUUAGCUGAUAGCACUUUGGUGGCGAUUAAAAGACUGAAAGAGGAACGUACUCAAGGUGGUGAACUACAGUUCCAGACCGAGGUUGAGAUGAUUAGUAUGGCUGUUCAUAGGAACUUGCUUCGGCUCCGUGGUUUUUGCAUGACUCCAACAGAAAGAUUGCUUGUUUAUCCUUACAUGGCUAAUGGAAGUGUUGCAUCCUGUUUAAGAGGUAACUCUCUCAUCUUGUAGCUUAUUCCUUGUCCUCCUAAUUGCUGCAAGGAAAUACCUAAAAGUUCGUUUAGGACCGGUUCUGAGUUUUUGGGGGUUACAUGCAAUUUAGUAAGAAUUUUAAAUUUUAACAAUUUUGGUACCUGUUCUGAGAUUUUGAGGUUUAUAUGCAAUUUAGUAAGAAUUUUUGUUAAAAAAUUUAAACAAGUUUGGUACCUGUUCUGAUAUUUUGAGGGUUAUAUACAAUUUAGUAAGAAUUUUAAUUUAAAAUUCUAAACAAUUUUGGAAUGUUUAUGAGAUUUUGAGGGUUUUAUGCAAUUUAGUAAGAAUUAUUUUUAAAAAAUAAACAGUUUUGGUAUCGGUUCUGAGAAUUUGGGGGGUUGCAUGCAAUUUAGCAAGAGUUUUAAUUAAAAAAAUCAACAAUUUUGGGAGCUUAUGUUUAUAUAAAUAUUUAUUAAAAUUUGGGGGGUCAUAGGUCAAUGUUUCACUUGUAUACGUUUUGAUCUGCUAGUAACGUUUUAUUCUUAUCUUGUCCUUAGACCGUCCAGAGUCUCAGCCAGCACUUGAUUGGCCAAAGAGACAGGGUAUUGCGUUAGGAUCAGCAAGGGGGCUUGCAUAUUUACAUGAUCAUUGCGACCCAAAGAUCAUACAUAGAGAUGUGAAAGCUGCAAAUAUAUUAUUGGACGAAGACUUUGAAGCUGUGGUCGGAGAUUUUGGACUUGCAAAACUCAUGGACUACAAAGACACACAUGUAACAACCGCAGUGCGUGGUACGAUUGGUCAUAUAGCACCUGAGUACCUUUCUACUGGUAAAUCAUCAGAGAAAACAGAUGUGUUUGGUUAUGGAGUCAUGCUUCUUGAGCUCAUUACUGGACAAAGAGCUUUCGAUCUUGCUCGUCUCGCCAAUGACGAUGAUGUCAUGUUACUAGACUGGGU
rnacentral:lncRNA from 1 species